GGUCGUGGAGUCAGCAGUGGAGGGGGAGAGAGUUCUUUGGGAUAUCUUUUUGGAGGUGGAGAAGAAAUUAAAAAACCCGCCCCAAAGAAGGUUGAUGCUCCUCAGAACCAGGCACCAGUUCCAAGCACUGAACCACCUUCUCAGAAGCCUACUGCUCCAACAACACCUGCAGAAGUCAAUAAGCAGACUCCAGCAGGCGUUCCUGGGAACACUUCAAACAACUAUUUCCGAGCUGAUGGCCAGAACUGUGGCAACUUCCUCACGGUAUGAUCUUGUUCAUAGUCACUAUUUUCUCUGAAUCGAAUAUCUAUGCUUUAAAAUUUUUAAGUUGUGACAAACAAUAUGAGAUAAUAUUGAUGGGGGGUAUGUGCUACAUCUGCCUUCAGAUGAUAUUCAGGCCUCUUGGCUACCUUAAUGAAGAUGUUUCUUUACUGAAUAGUACCUCUGCUUAUUAAGAAUUCUAUCUCCUAUGACAUUUUCAGAAACAUAUUCAUCCAUAGUUUCUGUUUUCCUCUUGAAGAGGUUGUUGGCUAAGAUUUGUGAUUUGCAUAUUGUAGAAUGUUGUGACAGGAAAGAAUCAAUUUUCUGGACAUAGAAAACUUUUGUUACCCUGUAUUUUUGGAUAUUCGUGGUUUAAUUUUGAAAAUGUGCUUGACAGGAUCGGCCAUCGACAAAGGUGCAUGCAGCUCCUGGUGGUGGAUCAUCCCUAGAUUACCUUUUUGGAGGCGGUAGCAAUUAAGGCCCGGGGCCAUUGAUGUUGGAAUCGUCAGUUUGGUUUGGUCCCUCUGUAAUAUGGACCCUCUGUAGAUGGUUUCUUUCAAAUAUGCUGUAAUAUUCUAGUACUUCCUGCGUCGGGGAAUGUGUUUUUUUUUUUUGG
rnacentral:lncRNA from 1 species